GUGAGACCUUUAUUUCAUAUUUUUCUCUUACACAUUUGAUGGUUUAUUCCAAAUGUUUGGCAUGAAAUGGUGGCAAACUAAAAGAACAACACAAUGUCUUUUUUACAGAUUCAUGCCUUAUCAGGUCAAUCCAGUCUGAAAGCACCAACCAGGACUCAGCCACAAAUCCGGCCGCUCAGCAUCAUAAAUACUCACCUCCCCUGCAGGGUGACGCGUGUCAUUAUGAAUCAAUCAAAGACCCUGAAGACACCACACAU